rnacentral:rRNA from 1 species
CACAAGCGGUGGAGCAUGUGGUUUAAUUCGAAGAUACACGAGAACCUUACCAGGUCUUGACAUACCAUUGACAGGCGCAGAGAUGUGCUCUCCUUCGGGCAAUGGAUACAGGUGGUGCAUGGUUGUCGUCAGCUCGUGCCGUGAGGUGUUGGGUUAAGUCCCGCAACGAGCGCAACCCUCAUUGUUAGUUACUACCAUUCAGUUGAGGACUCUAAUGAGACUGCCAACGAUAAGUUGGAGGAAGGUGGGGAUGACGUCAAAUCAUCAUGCCCUUUAUGACCUGGGCUACAAACGUACUACAAUGGCCAAUACAAAGAGAUGCGAAGCGGUGACGUGGAGCGAACCUCAGAAAGUUGGUCUCAGUUCAGAUUGAAGUCUGCAACUCGACUUCAUGAAGGCGGAAUCGCUAGUAAUCGCGGGUCAGCAGACCGCGGUGAAUACGUUCCCGGGUUUU